UACAGAGGUCUCAAGCGUUGUUCGGAUUCAUUGGGCGUAAAGGGUGCGUAGGUGGCGCGGUAAGUCGGGUGUGAAAUUUCGGAGCUUAACUCCGAAACUGCAUUCGAUACUGCCGUGCUUGAGGACUGGAGAGGAGACUGGAAUUUACGGUGUAGCAGUGAAAUGCGUAGAGAUCGUAAGGAAGACCAGUGGCGAAGGCGGGUCUCUGGACAGUUCCUGACACUGGAGGCACGAAGGCCCAGGGGGAGCAAAACGGG
rnacentral:rRNA from 1 species